GCGUAACAUGCGGCUCACACUCAACUUCCAACCGACUGCACCGCUUAUCCCAACCGCUUUCCUAAAGCGGGGGUCACAGGUUCGAACCCUGUCGGGCGUACCA
rnacentral:tRNA from 1 species